UUUUAAUUGUCCGGGUCUGUUUUGGCUCUGGGCCGCUGGGUCGGGACCAGGAUAACGAGGUGAGAAAACGUGACAGGAGGCGCUGUCCCCGUGGCACAGAGGCGGGUCUGAAGUUCGGGGACGCCGCCCGGGGUGCCCCGCGCAGGCCCAGGAGAGGGUCCGAAGUGCCCGCGUCCCGCCUGUCCCCGCCCCGCUGCCUCCACAGAGUCCGAUGGCGGCGCCGGCGUUGGGGGACCCACCUCAGGUUGCUGCUGUGGAGCAGAGGCACUCUUUCAACGAAGCAUUUCUAUAAGCAUGUCACUGGCCAGGACUCCUAAGGCACCUUCGUUUUCCAAGAAGAAUCACUCCAGUGAGACGUGUAGUCUGGUCUUGCAAAGUAUUUUUCACUUGGCUGAGCGUGAAGAAACACAACACAAUCAGAAAGUGUUCCCGUGUAGAAUAUGUUUGAAGCGAUUUCAUUUUAGUGCAAACCUCCAAAAACACCAGAAGCAGCACAUGGAAGAGAAAUCCUUCAGUAAUGCUGCAGUCAGGGCCUUGUUUGUGAAGAGCUGCAAAUGCCAUGUGUGAAGGAAGACCUUUACCUGUGAGGAAGUUGGGAAAGACUUUCUGGCCACCUUGGGACAUCUCCAGCAACAGACCACUCACACCAGGGAGAAGCCAAAAAAGAUUGCCCAGCGUGAGGCAACUUUACAAAGCAGAGAAGUCAUUACAGCUGGGGAGAAUGCAAGAAAGCCUUCAGCCUGAAACAUGCAAUUGUUCAGGACUAGGGUGUCCACCCUGGAAGACACUGUUCUGUGUGCAGUGAAUGUGGGAAGACAUUCAGGUACAAAUCCUCAUUUGUUGUGCACCAGAGAGUGCAUACUGGAGAAAGGCUUCACGUGUGUGGUGAGUCUGGCAAAUCUUUCAGGCAAACCUCAACCCUCAAUCUGCAUCGAAGAAUUCACACUGAAACAGUGCAGUACAAGUGCAGCAAAUGUGGGAAAUCCUUUAACCAAAACUUUGUGCUUAUUUAUCCCUGGAGAAGACACAUUGGAGAAAAUUAUUACCUGUGCAGUGAAUGUGCACAGUUUCCUAGCUGUAGAUCCAUCAUAGUUCAAGAACAGACAUUUCACACUGGAGAAAGGCGUUAUGAGUGUACUCAAUGUGGGAUAUCUUUUAGAUGAAAAUUUUACCUAAUUGUACACUGGAGAGUUCACACAAGAGAAAGGCCUUUUGAGUGCAGUGAGCAUUGGAAAUCCUUUAGUCAUCAAUCUUACCUCACUCAACACUGAAAUGUUCAUAGUGGAAAAAGGCCUUAUGAAUGCAGUGAAUGUGGGAAAUCUUAUACUUCUCACCCUGGCCUCUAUUAUCUUUAGAGAGAUCACACAGGAGAAAGGCCUUAUAAGUUUAGAGAGUGUGGGAAAUCUUUUACCAGUAGGAGGAACCUUCGUUAUCAUCAGGGAGUUCAUACUGAGUGCAGUGAAUGUGGGAAAUCUUUUCCAUCUAGGUCCGGCCUCUGUUAUCAUCAGAGAGUUCACACAGGAUUGAGGCCAUAUGAGUGUAGUGUGUAUGGGAAGUCUUUUUCCAAGAGCUCUGUGAUUACUGAACAUCAGAGAGUUCACACUGGAUAUAGGCCUUAUCAGCGCCGUGAAUGUGGGAAGUCUUUUUUCUCUGGUUUCAACAUCAAUAAUCAUCAGAGAGUUCACACAGCAGAAAGGCCUUAUGGGUGCAGUGAAUGUGGGAAAUGUUUUCCCUGUAAUUCCAUCCUUCAUGAACAUCAGAGAAUUCACACAAGCAAAAGGCCUUAUGAGCACACGGAACGUAGGCAGUCCUUUAGAGCAAAUUCUUCUCUCCUUGCACACUGUAGAGGUCACACUGCAGAGAAGCCUUAUAAAUGCAGUGAAUGUGGGAAAUCUUUUUCAUCUAGGUCUGGUUUCCAUUAUCAUCAGAGUUCACAAAGGAUCAGGGCCAUAUGAGGCUAGUGAAUGUGGGAAAUCUUUUCCCCAGAGCUCUGCACUCCUUCAACAUCCGUGUUCAUAGAGCUGAAAGGCCUUAAAUGUGUGGUGAAUGUUGGAAAUCCUUUACCACUAGUUCCCCCCUUUGUUAUAAUCAGAGAUUUCACCAGCAAAGCCUUAUUCGUGCAGGGAAUUUGAGAAACUUUCCUAAAUAAUUCAACUUAUUAUACAUGGUAGAAUUUGCACUGGAGAAAGGACUUGAAUGUGCAAGGAAAUGUGUAAUUUUCUUGUUCAGGGUAACGACACUGGAAGAAACUGAGGAGCCACCCAUCUGAAUUCAAUCUCAUACAUCCAGUUGUCCACAGGGGGAGAUACCCCUUACGUUUAAGUUAUGUGGGAAGCAUUUGUGGCUGUAUUGCACUUUGUAACCUGUCCAGGGCUUUUCCCAGAUUUAUGUCACUGUCUGUUUCUGUGGCUGUUUUACCUGUGUCGCCUGGCAGGUCCACACAGUGUGCAUCAGUCAUCAGCCCAGUGCACUCAGGGAAACUGACCUCUGUUCUUCCAAAUGUUGGAGCAAACUAGGAGUAGUUCAGUCCCUUUGGGGUUGGUGUUCCCCUCUCUCUGACUGCGUGUACAAAAGCCUGAAGGAAUGUUGGCCCAGAGAACAUAAGAAUUCAGCUGACCAUGUGCAGAGAAGGACAACCCUUUUCAGGGACAUGUUCUCACAUGAUCAGUUUUUCCAGCUAGCAAGUCACCAACCCAAACUGUGUGCCACACAUUGUUUUGGUUUGUAUAAUACGGGUGGCUUACUGUUUAAGGCCUGUUUUGUUUUGGGAGUUCUGUGCACUGCAGGAGGUUUUUUAUAAGGAGAUUUGGGCUCCACAGGCAUAGGCCUCAGGGAGGAUAGUAUGAUGGCAAAAAUUGGCUUGCCGUCUUUUUGGCCAAAUUUGCAUUGGUGCCGGUGAAGUCGUAGGAGAGAGGGCAGGGCUUUCUGGUCCUCAUUUGAAGCCUGGAUGCUAUGAGUUUUAGGAGACUCAGGCAUCACCGUGAAGAGGAGUGAGAUGUGACAACCUCAAGUUCUUGGAGCAGCAUGAAUUUUUUCCCGUGUUCACAGGGCGUAUCACGAGAGAUGUCAGCACUGUUGAGAGGGCUCUCCUCCAUUGGUUUUGCAAAGAGCAUGUGCCCUGAUGUCCACAAUUCCAUGGGUGACAGUCACUGGCUGUAAGACUAUAGGGGUCAGGGGAAACUGAAACUGAUACAGAAACUGGGUUAGUAGGGAGCAGAGGAGACAGCAGCUAGCUCAUUGGAAUGUGCCUCUUCUAAAAGUGCAUCCACAGAUGUCUUUGUGACAGUGACCAAUGUGCAGGAUCAGCGUGUACACAAAUCUCAGGACUUACAGGCAUGUUUAUGUUGUGUAGCUGAGGUCAUUGUCAGAGAGAAAAUUGGAACGUUCUGUGGAUUUUUGUAGCCUACCUGAAGUGUUUGCCUCAAGGCCAUUGUUGCACAGGCAGGAAACGAAAGGUAAAGAAAAGUAGUCUAGGGAUGUGGCUCUUGUGAGCCAGCCAGAAUUCCUGUUGACUGAAGUGGAAAUGUCUUUUAUUACUCGCCAGUAUUUGCUGCCACUGAGGCAAGAUGACACCCAUAGGGCAUGACUAGAAAGGUGGUGAAGCUAGUAUAGUGUUGCCAAAUCUGUUUUCCAAAAAAGUGGGACGUACAGAUUUUCUUAGCUUGAAGUGUUUUUUAAAGCUUUAUUUAGGUGUAAUAUACAUGUAGAAAACUGUACAUUUUUAAAGUGAAGUAUUUGAUAAGUUUUGACAUACACAUGAUACCUGUGAAAACAUCAUCAGUCAUGGUAAUGACCAUAUGUGUCACCAUGUAUUUGCCUGAUUUCCUUUUAUGAUCUGUCCCUGCCCUUCACAGCCCUCCAAGAACCAUUGAUUUAUUUUCCCUUGUAAUAGAUAUCUUUACGAUUUCUAUAAUUUACAUGAUGAAAUCCUAAAACGUUUACUUUUGUUUUCUCCUGGUUUUGUGUUUUGUAAUUAUUUUGAGAUUCAUCAAUGAUGUUAAAUGAGGAGCUCUUUUUUUUUUCUGUGUUUUUGAGUAAUAUUCUUACCAUUAGAUAUAACAGUAUAUAUCCAUUCACCUGUUUAUAGCUAUUUGGGAUAAUUCCAGGUUUUGACUGUUGAAAAUAAACUAGUGCAAGUGUUUGUGUACAGUUUUUGUUUGUCUGUUUGGGUUUUUUUUUGCGGUACACAGGCCUCUCACUGUUGUGACCUCUCCCAUUGCGGAGCACAGGCACCGGACUUGCAGGCUUAGCAGCCGUGGCUCAUGGGCCCAGCCGCUCCGCGGCAUGUGAGAUCUUCCCGGACUGGGGCACGAACCCAUGUCCCCUGAUCGGCAGGCAGACUCUCAACCACUGCACCACCAGGGAAGCCCUGUGUACAGUUCUUAAUAUGGAAAUUUGUUUCCUUUAUCUUUUGGUCCAAAAAUUAGAUUGCAGUGUUUGAGUUACAAAGUAGGUGUAUGUUUAGCUUUUGAACAAACUAACAAAUUGCUAUCUAAACAUUGUACUUUUUCUUUUUAUAAAAAUUUUUAUUGGAGUAUAGUUGAUUUACCAUGUUUUUUUUUUUUUUGUAUUUGUAACAGUACUUGUAUGAGGGUUCCAUUUCUUCUACAUCCUAGUGAAUACUUAGUUGGUCAGUGGUUUUUUAUUUUAACUCUUAAUGAGGUUGCCGUGCUCUCUCACGGUUUGAAUUGAAUUUUCCUCAGAAUUCAUGAUUAGCGUCCUUACAGAUUUAUAUUUGCUAUCUUUGGUAAAAUGUCUCCUUUUAUCUUCUGCCUAUUCUUUUUUUUUUUUUUUCCUUUGGCUGUGUUGCACAGCUUGCAAGAACUUAGUUCAUCAAACAAGGAUUGAACCUGGACCCUUGCAGUGAAAGCUCUGAGUCCUAACCACUGGACUGCCAGGGAAUUCCCUCUUAAGCCUAUACUUUGAUUAAUUUGGGCUAUUUUCCUUUUCUUUAACGACUAGGACAGUGAAACAACAGAUACCCAUUUUGCUCGUUCUUGAGUGACUGCUUUAUGGAAUAAUUGGUUUCAGUACUUGAAGAACAUGUCUUGAGUUUUUUCAGUGUUUUUGUUACACACAAUGUAAUGCACACAUGUACCAUACAUUAUAAGAUUAAUCUGCCCAGAGAAUUUACUAUUAGUUCUAAGUAUACUUGAUGAAUGACACCCUGCCCCCAGCCUCUUUUUUGAGCAUUUAUUAAGAAGAGCUUAUAAUUGUAUAUAUGUUUCUCAAAGACCUGAGAGCUAAUCCUUUGAAAUGUAAGCAUUAGGAUCAAUUAGGCCUCUGUCUCUCAGUCUCUUUGGAAGGAUAGAAUCCUAGUUUUCAUAAUUACCAGCUAUCAAACACAGCUGAACUAAUCUCGUUUAUAUUUCCCAGCCAUUUUUAGUGUUUCAGUUCCAUGAACACUGAGUUCCCAUCCUCCCUGUUUCCUUAUUCUCCCUUUAUUUUUAAAAAAACUUUCUUAACAUAUUUUUUUUAAUCUUGAAGGUGUUUUUUUUUCUAGCUGCGCCACAUGGCUCGUGGGAUCUUAGUUCCCUUAUCAGCGAUUGAACCUGUGCCCCCUGCAGUGGAAGUGUGGAGUACUAAGCACUGGGCUCCCAGGGAAUUCCCCUCAUUCUCCCUUUAAAACACCUGAUCAUCUCUGCAGAAAUUACGAUUGAGUUCAACUCUUUUUCCUGUUGUCAGUAUUUAUUGAAUAAAAUGUUUUUUUCC
rnacentral:lncRNA from 1 species